GACGAACGCUGGCGGCGUGCUUAACACAUGCAAGUCGAACGGAAAGGCCCUGCUUUUGUGGGGUGCUCGAGUGGCGAACGGGUGAGUAACACGUGAGUAACCUGCCCUUGACUUUGGGAUAACUUCAGGAAACUGGGGCUAAUACCGGAUAGGAGCUCCUGCUGCAAGGUGGGGGUUGGAAAGUUUCGGCGGUUGGGGAUGGACUCGCGGCUUAUCAGCUUGUUGGUGGGGUAGUGGCUUACCAAGGCUUUGACGGGUAGCCGGCCUGAGAGGGUGACCGGCCACAUUGGGACUGAGAUACGGCCCAGACUCCUACGGGAGGCAGCAGUGGGGAAUAUUGCACAAUGGGCGGAAGCCUGAUGCAGCAACGCCGCGUGCGGGAUAACGGCCUUCGGGUUGUAAACCGCUUUCGCCUGUGACGAAGCGUGAGUGACGGUAAUGUGUAAAGAAGCACCGGCUAACUACGUG
rnacentral:rRNA from 1 species